GGCAAGAUGGCCGAGUGGUCUAAGGCGCUGUGUUCAGGAUUUCUUAGUCUUAUCGCAGUCUUCGGGCGUGGGUUCGAAUCCCACUCUUGUCA
rnacentral:tRNA from 1 species